GUAUUACCGGACGUCCCCGGGACGGCGCAUGCCGUCCCGGGGGAAGCCCAGGCGGCGUGGGAUGGGGUCGCGGCCCAUCAGGUAGACGGCGGGGUAACGGCCCACCGUGCCUACAACGGGUAGCCGGGUUGAGAGACCGACCGGCCAGAUUGGGACUGAGACACGGCCCAGACACCUACGGGAGGCAGCAGUGGGGAAUCUUGCGCAAUGGGGGCAACCCUGACGCAGCGACGCCGCGUGCGGGACGAAGGCCUUCGGGUCGUAAACCGCUUUCAGCAGGGACGAGAAGAGACGGUACCUGCAGAAGAAGCCCCGGCUAACUACGUGCCAGCAGCCGCGGUAAUACGUAGGGGGCGAGCGUUAUCCGGAUUCAUUGGGCGUAAAGCGCGCGUAGGCGGCCGCGUAGGCGGGGGGUCAAAUCCCGGGGCUCAACCCCGGUCCGCCCCCCGAACCCCGCGGCUCGGGUCCGGUAGGGGAGGGUGGAACACCCGGUGUAGCGGUGGAAUGCGCAGAUAUCGGGUGGAACACCGGUGGCGAAGGCGGCCCUCUGGGCCGAGACCGACGCUGAGGCGCGAAAGCUGGGGAGCGAACAGGAUUAGAUACCCUGGUAGUCCCAGCCGUAAACGAUGGACGCUAGGUGUGGGGGGACGAUCCCUCCGUGCCGCAGCCAACGCAUUAAGCGUCCCGCCUGGGGAGUACGGCCGCAAGGCUAAAACUCAAAGGAAUUGACGGGGGCCCGCACAAGCAGCGGAGCAUGUGGCUUAAUUCGAAGCAACGCGAAGAACCUUACCAAGUCUUGACAUCCGGAUGACCGGAACUUAACCGUUCCUUCCCUUCGGGGCAUCCGAGACAGGUGGUGCAUGGUUGUCGUCAGCUCGUGUCGUGAGAUGUUGGGUUAAGUCCCGCAACGAGCGCAACCCCCGCCGCAUGUUGCCAGCAGGUCAGGCUGGGCACCCAUGCGGGACCGUCGGCGUCAAGCCGGAGGAGGGCGGGGACGACGUCAAGUCAUCAUGCCCCUUAUGCCCUGGGCUGCACACGUGCUACAAUGGCCGGUACAGCGGGAUGCGAUGGCGCGAGCCGGAGCGGAUCCCUCAAAGCCGGCCCCAGUUCGGAUUGGGGGCUGCAACCCGCCCCCAUGAAGUCGGAGUUGCUAGUAAUCGCGGAUCAGCAUGCCGCGGUGAAUGCGUUCCCGGGCCUUGCACUCACCGCCCGUCA
rnacentral:rRNA from 1 species